UCAACUUGCUGACAGUUCAAACUCAAAAGGUCAAAGCCAGAGCGGAGAAGACUGGAGGGGAAAGGCAGCAGACGUGGCCGGGAGAUGCAGAAACUGAGGCUCCAAGAGCUGAGCGGACUUACCAAAGUCACCUAGCUCGGCUCCCGGACUGUACAAGCUCCACGCCCCACACACACUCUAUCCACCACCGUGACUGGGCAAGGUUGAUGGCAUCACAGUGUGUCACCAGGAACCUGGCAAUUACAGCUUAAACUUCCCGGCUCCCAGCACAGUGCCACCGUGGGCAGGCAGCACCCGGGGUGCCUGCAAUCUGCUGGAAUCCUGCGCACUGACUACUGUCCUGCGGCGCUCAAACUGCUCUCCAUGGUCCACAAGACCCCCUAUCCACGUAGCCCAGCUGGCUUCUUUCAGGCUUUGUUCUCU